UUGAUCCUGGCUCAGAAUCAACGCUGGCGGCGUGCCUAACACAUGCAAGUCGAACGCGAAAGUGGAGCAAUCCAUGAGUAGAGUGGCGAACGGGUGAGUUACACGUGGGUGACCUACCUUCGAAUGGGGGAUAACGUCCCGAAAGGGACUCUAAUACCGCAUAACAUCCUGUCCUUGAACGGAUGGUGAUCAAAGCCGGUGAUCGCAAGACCUGGCGUUUGAAGAGGGGCCCGCGUCCGAUUAGCUAGUUGGUGAGGUAAUGGCUCACCAAGGCGACGAUCGGUAACCGGCCUGAGAGGUCGGACGGUCACACUGGGACUGAGACACGGCCCAGACUCCUACGGGAGGCUGCAGUGGGGAAUUGUUCACAAUGGGCGCAAGCCUGAUGACGCAACGCCGUGUGGAGGAUGAAGGUCUUCGGAUUGUAAACUCCUGUUGCUCGGGACGAAUAGCUUUGACCUAACACGUCAAAGUCUGACGGUACCGAGUGAGGAAGCCCUGGCUAACUCUGUGCCAGCAGCCGCGGUAU
rnacentral:rRNA from 1 species